rnacentral:rRNA from 1 species
GAUGAACGCUGGCGGCGUGCCUAAUACAUGCAAGUCGAGCGAACAGACGAGGAGCUUGCUCCUCUGACGUUAGCGGCGGACGGGUGAGUAACACGUGGAUAACCUACCUAUAAGACUGGGAUAACUUCGGGAAACCGGAGCUAAUACCGGAUAAUAUAUUGAACCGCAUGGUUCAAUAGUGAAAGACGGUUUUGCUGUCACUUAUAGAUGGAUCCGCGCCGCAUUAGCUAGUUGGUAAGGUAACGGCUUACCAAGGCAACGAUGCGUAGCCGACCUGAGAGGGUGAUCGGCCACACUGGAAGUGAGACACGGUCCAGACUCCUACGGGGGGCAGCAGUAGGGAAUCUUCCGCAAUGGGCGAAAGCCUGACGGAGCAACGCCGCGUGAGUGAUGAAGGUCUUCGGAUCGUAAAACUCUGUUAUUAGGGAAGAACAAAUGUGUAAGUAACUAUGCACGUCUUGACGGUACCUAAUCAGAAAGCCACGGCUAACUACGUG